GGCCAGUUAGCUCAGUUGGUUAGAGUGCAGGGCUGAUAACACUGAGGUCCAGGGUUCUAUCCCGGUACUGGCCA